GAAUUACUCCCUCCGUCCGAAAAUACUUGUCAUCAAAAUGGAAAAAGGGAUGUAUCUAGAACUAAAAUACAUCUAGAUACAUCCCCUUUUAUUCAUUUUGAUGACAAGUAUUUCCGGACGGAGGGAGUAGAAG
rfam:Triticum aestivum genome assembly, contig: Triticum_aestivum_CS42_TGACv1_scaffold_506393_6BL